rnacentral:rRNA from 1 species
GACGUAGGGCGCGAGCGUUGUCCGGAUUUAUUGGGCGUAAAGAGCUCGUAGGCGGCUCGUUGCGUCGGCUGUGAAAACCCGCAGCUCAACUGUGGGCUUGCAGCUGAUACGGGCGGGCUGGGAUUCGGUAGGGGAGACUGGAAUUCCUGGUGUAGCGGUGAAAUGCGCAGAUAUCAGGAGGAACACCGGUGGCGAAGGCGGGUCUCUGGGCCGAUAUCGACGCUGAGGAGCGAAAACGUGGGGAGCGAACAGG